rnacentral:rRNA from 1 species
UUCCAGACUCCUACGGGAGGCAGCAGUGGGGAAUAUUGCACAAUGGGGGGAACCCUGAUGCAGCGACGCCGCGUGGGUGAAGGAGCACCUCGGUGCGUAAAGUCCUAUCGGCAGGGAAGAAAAGCGAACAGGUUCGCCUGGACGGUACCUGACUAAGAAGCCCCGGCUAACUACGUGCCAGCAGCCGCGGUAAUACGUAGGGGGCAAGCGUUAUCCGGAUUCACUGGGUGUAAAGGGAGCGCAGGCGGCACGGCAAGCCUGAUGUGAAAGCCCGCGGCCCAACCGCGGGACUGCAUUGGGAACUACCGGGCUGGAGUGCCGGAGAGGUAGGCGGAAUUCCUAGUGUAGCGGUGAAAUGCGUAGAUAUUAGGAGGAACACCAGUGGCGAAGGCGGCCUACUGGACGGUGACUGACGCUGAGGCUCGAAAGCGUGGGGAGCAAACAGGAUUAGAUACCCUUGUAUG